GACUUCGUGGCGCAAUGGUAGCGCGUUCGACUCCAGAAUGACUUGGUCGACCCCGGAUCGAUCGAAAGGUUGCGUGUUCAAGUCACGUCGGGGUCA
rnacentral:tRNA from 1 species